UGGUGUGACUGCGUACCUUUUGUAUAAUGGGUCAGCGACUUAUAUUCAGUGGCAAGGUUAACCGUUUAGGGGAGCCGUAGGGAAACCGAGUCUUAACUGGGCGUUCAGUCUCUGGAUAUAGACCCGAAACCAAGUGAUCUAGCCAUGGGCAGGUUGAAGAUUGAGUAACAUCAAUUGGAGGACCGAACCGACUAAUGUUGAAAAAUUAGCGGAUGACUUGUGGCUAGGGGUGAAAGGCCAAUCAAACUUGGAGAUAGCUGGUUCUCCCCGAAAUCUAUUUAGGUAGAGCCUCGGACGAAUACUACUGGGGGUAGAGCACUGUUAAGGCUAGGGGGUCAUCCCGACUUACCAACCCUUUGCAAACUCCGAAUACCAGUAAGUACUAUCCGGGAGACACACGGCGGGUGCUAACGUCCGUCGUGGAGAGGGAAACAACCCAGACCGCCAGCUAAGGUCCCAAAGUUAUAGUUAAGUGGGAAACGAUGUGGGAAGGCUCAGACAGCCAGGAUGUUGGCUUAGAAGCAGCCAUCAUUUAAAGAAAGCGUAAUAGCUCACUGGUCGAGUCGGCCUGCGCGGAAGAUGUAACGGGGCUAAACUAUACACCGAAGCUGCGGCAAUACAGUUUACUGUAUUGGGUAGGGGAGCGUUCUGUAAGCGGUUGAAGGUGCGUUGUAAAGCGUGCUGGACGUAUCAGAAGUGCGAAUGCUGACAUGAGUAACGAUAAAGCGGGUGAAAAACCCGCUCGCCGGAAGACCAAGGGUUCCUGUCCAACGUUAAUCGGGGCAGGGUAAGUCGACCCCUAAGGCGAGGCCGAAAGGCGUAGUCGAUGGGAAACGGGUUAAUAUUCCCGUACUUCUUAUAAUUGCGAUGGGGGGACGGAGAAGGCUAGGUGGGCUUGGCGACGGUCGUCCAAGUUCAAGUGUGUAGGCUGUAUUCUUAGGCAAAUCCGGGAAUACACUAGGCUGAGACACGAUGUCGAGCUACUACGGUAGUGAAGCCAUUGAUGCCAUGCUUCCAGGAAAAGCCUCUAAGCUUCAGAUUGUAAGGAAUCGUACCCCAAACCGACACAGGUGGUCGAGUAGAGAAUACUAAGGCGCUUGAGAGAACUCGGGUGAAGGAACUAGGCAAAAUGGUACCGUAACUUCGGGAGAAGGUACGCUCCUAGCGGUGAUGAGACUUGCUCUCUAAGCUGCCGGGAGUCGCAGAUACCAGGUGGCUGCAACUGUUUAUUAAAAACAUAGCACUGUGCUAAAUCGUAAGAUGACGUAUACGGUGUGACGCCUGCCCGGUGCUUGAAGGUUAAUUGAUGGGGUUAGACUUCGGUCGAAGCUCUUGAUCGAAGCCCAAGUAAACGGCGGCCGUAACUAUAACGGUCCUAAGGUAGCGAAAUUCCUUGUCGGGUAAGUUCCGACCUGCACGAAUGGCGUAAUGAUGGCCACGCUGUCUCC
rnacentral:rRNA from 1 species